AUUUGCUUAGAGUAUACGAAAUAUUUACUUUCUUUGAUGUGUGUGUGAAAAACUUAUAAUUUUAAGCAGUAAAAAAUGAAAACAAAUGGCAGCUAUAUACAGCGCAAUUGGAAAUGUGGCGUCAAAACACAAAAGAAAAACAAAAAAAAAAAAAAAAACAAAAUAGUAAACAAUAAUUUUACACAAAAAGCACACAAGAGUACACAUACAUGCAUAAACACUAAUUAAAGAUAAGCUUAUUGUUUGAAUUGAUGUUUCCUUUUUGUUUAAGAAUUGUAUUUUUUUUUUGUUAAAAGUAACUAACAAACGAUGGAAAGUAAUGAACGAGAAGUGAAUACUUCUACUAAUUAUAGUUGAGUUAGUUAAGCCUGUUAAAUUGUUUUGCCUUUACACGGCCUUUACUUUGUAUAUUUAAAUAACUAAUUAGUCUGUCUUCAUAAACUCUUUAAACUUAUUUUGCAUCUGAAAACAUUUUUGAGACAAAUAUUUCUUUGACAAGCCAAUUUAUUUUACUGCGAUAAAUUAUGAACUUUUGUAAAAAAAUACAUUUCGAAGCAUUGUAAAGCUGUAUUGGUGAGUAUUUAAAAGUUUAAACAGCUAAGUUGACUUAAUUUGCUUUAUGAAAGUUUCGUAGAAUAGUUAAAAGAGACACAGAAGUAAUGGCGUUAUGAAAAGUUUAAUUUUAAAUGAAGAUACAAAAACAACAAAAUUUAAAGCUUCACAAAAAAGUUUUUCAUUGCUUUGCGCUUCAUUACAUCCGAACACUUCAAAUCGUCCAUGUUCGGCCCAAAGGAAACAACACCUGUACUCUUAUAGGGAGGGGAAAUGAGGAGGCUACAUAAGAGUCCGGGAGCCAGGGGUCAUUUUGACCUCAUCAUUUCAUGUCGACUGAUUUUAAUACUGAAGGCAGACGCCAUCUAAUGGAUGACGAAACCAACAGUCAGCUGGUCCAGUAGCGGUGGUUACGUGC